UCUGAAUGGCAAUGCAGAUUGACAAGGAUCGAGGGUUUCUUUUUCUAAAAUGCAAAUGAAAUUCCCAUGGACUGAGUCCUGUCCCAAAAAACAUACAGGGAUGAAAAUGAAUUCGAAUAGAUAUAGGCAGAUGUAGCUGUAAAUAACCACUGCAUCCACUUAAGCUGCCUUCCUCCAUCUCUACCCCCCCAUCCCCGCCCCCCACUCCCUCCUUAACCAGAUGUAGCUGAAUGGGGAGCCUUUGCAAAUAUGGGUUACAGGCGUCUCCUAGCGGCCGCAGAAGUUCACUACAAGCAGGUUGCUGCUCGCAAGAGCCCUGGCUAGGGAAAGAUAAGAAGCUUCUUUCCAGGCUCUGCUUCUUUCUCCCGAUUUUCAAGACCUCUGAAGAGGAUCUUUCAGCCGCUUGCGGGGAAAAAAAAAAAAUGCCUAUGCGCUUCAGGAAUAAACUGCGCUCAUUGUGAUCCCAGUCUCCGCGGCUGUUGCUCGACUGGAACCGAACUACUGCACGGUGAUGUUUCUUUCUGAUAAUUGGAUGAACCCUAUUUAUAAAUAUUUCUCAAUGGUUAAAAAAAAGGACAUGCUCUGUCUGGUAUUAGUAACAGAUUCCUAAUAUUUAGAGAAAAGGAAAGACAGGACCAAGGUGUCAAGAGUCAGGCCCUGAACUGGGACAUGAAUAUCUAGGGUUACACAGAUCUUCCAAAACUCCAAAGCAGAAGUUGCAGCCUAACAGCGGGCCAAGAAGGCUAAGAAAUCAAGUGCUUCUGCUGAUGCCAGUCAUAAAGGGAGAGACCAAACAGCCUCUAAACAACAAAAAUCAAGUUACCUGGUGCAUCCUUUCCGUAUGAGAAAUCAACCAUCCCUGACAAAGCAGUAUAAAACAGAAGUAGCUGUGAGGAUUCCAUUAUUGAAAAAGACAACAGAAGCAGAAGAAGCUUGACCAUAAGGGACUCAAGUUCCUAUCCAAGAUAGGCAACCCUUCCUCUAACAAGCCAGACUAAACUAAAAGCUCCAUAUCUGAUUUUGAACCUGACUGGUUGCAAUUUAGAGGAUGAAGACAGAAAUGAAGGACUUCCUUUAAAACUCCAUUUAAAACUCUAAGCCCAGAUUUCAGUUGAUACACCAGAUAAGUCAGAUAAAAUUGUGAAGUUCCCUCCAAAUUAGCCAAUUCCACAGCCGGGGAGAGCAAUAGCAGCAGUAGCAACAAUAGCAGCAGUGACUGUCUCUAAACCUAAAGUGGGGAAAGAAUCUCAUCUUCAGGGGCCAAAGUAACCACCCAGAACAGCAGUUCAGACUCAGAGAUGUUCAGUAGUAAAAAGGAUGAACUUUCACCAUCAUGCAAAUGAAUCUGAAAUGGGGAAUGCAGCCCUUCCUAAAACACCUUGGCCAAAAAUAUUCAAAGCCAAGAAUGACUGUCUGCUUCAGCCCGUGCAGAUCCAAUGAAAAGAAGAAAACCCCAAACCUUAAAAAAGCUCUAUCCUGGUGGCCAGUGCGUUUUGCCCUCCACUCACCCACAAUAAGAAGUCAAGUCCUCCUAGGGAGAGUGAAGAAAAGGAGAAGGAUCCAGCGGCCCCAAAAGUGAAGAAGUAAAAGCCUCAGACUUCAAAUAUGGUUCUCAAAGCAAGAGAGAGAAAAAGGCAUCCUCUCCUUUAUAGAAAACAAGAAGAAUGAGAUGGAUUCUCAGGAUAAUGACAAUUCCUUUGAUGUCAAGCAGGGUGCAUCUGGAGAUUAGGGAGAAAAAGCCAACAAGUUCUUGAAAUUUACAAAAAGCAAGUCUUUUGACAUGAGAGGGUCAAGAAGGAGUUGGCAGACACUGGGAGAAUGUCCUAUCCACCCAAGUGAAUUCUGUUAAAUUUGAGAAGAGUAACUUCACCUCUGGAGGCUGGUACCUAGAGCCCAGUUCUGUUUGCAGAAUCAGGAGGCUGGAGUUAGUGACCAACCAUUCAUCCAUAGUCUGAACUUGGCUGAGGACAGGUUUGCUAUGAGGAUCCUUUGGGAAGUGGUAGUAGAACAGAGAAAUAUGAAAGAAUUCUCUUGGAGGUGCGUUGCUUGGUUUUCCCUUCACUUCUCUGAAAUCCAGAUAUAGCUCAACCUAACUUGUUAAGGUCUGGAAAGGCUGUAUGUGAAGCAAAAAUGUGAAAAUUUAUAUUGAAUUUUAUAUUCCUAUUAACUAACAUUAUAGCUUGCAGAGAUUCACUUCCACAGGUGACAUUUUUGCUUCAUAGAUCAUGGUAAAAGUCACAUUUGAGAAACCUUGAUAUCUAUGGACUCAGUUAUAAAUUCUGUCAUUUUUGGGGUGGGGCGAAGAUUAAGGAUACAACCAAUUUUAGGAGAAGGUCACUCCCAAUGUAGCUAUGGGAGGGAUGAAUUUUUCCAUAACAAUCCAGUGAAACCAUCAACUCAGUCCUAGAGAUGUAAUAGUGUCCUGCAUUUAUACCAUCAAAAUCAUAGAACCUUUUAAUUUAGAAAUAAUUGUCUUUUCAGUAAGAGAAUACUUAUUAGUUCACUUAUUCUGUAUAUUUAUAAUCUUCUGCAAGCUUCACAGAGAACCAACAAAUGGGCAACAGACAAUAAUCCUUCCCUGGUUAAUUUAUUCCAUCAAGAGUUUGACCAUCCCUAUUUCACAAGAUCUCCAAACUAUAAAGUUUUUGAUCCAUAUGUUAUUUCAUAAUUAAAUGUAGGGGUCAUACAAUUUUGAUUUAUUAUUAGUGAAUGUUUGAUUUGUGUAUCUGUUUUAUGCACCUAUUUGCCUGGAGUCAUGUAAAAAUUUCUUCAGGAAAAUGGAUUGGAAAUGGAAAAGGUUAAAGUCUUGAAAAUCCAAACUUGCCCUUCUUCUUUCAUAGAUGAGGGAAAGAAGUGUCACUGAGAGACUAAGUAACUGGACAAAGAUCAGCUAGAUAAUAAAUGUACAAUAAUUGACCUCAAGUCCUCUUACUUCAAAUUUGCUGUACCAUUCUACCUCCCAUUUCUUCAAGUAUUCAGACAAACUCACUGGCCAAAAAAGCCCUAUGAAUGUACUCCUCUGAAUGUCAUUUAGUUGGACAUUGGAUCAUUGUAUAAUGAACUUCAAAGGUCAUUUUUCUUCAUCCUGAAAUAUUGUAGUAGAGUAUUGUUGAAUGUAGGCUGGGGACUCAAAUAUGUCCUGAUAAUCAUAAUCUUGCUGUCAUCCAGUUCUCCCUUAGUAUAACAUUGAUUAAAUAUUUAAUGUGGUCCAGUGAUUUCUUGACAUCCCCAGACUGUUAUGCCACAGUUCUCAGUUUCCAUAAUUAUCCUGACCCAGUCCUCACUCAGUUUCCCUGUUUCUCUGAUUUGUAAAACCUCCCCUCCUUCUUUAGCAGAAUACUUGAUAAGGAUAAAAGAUCUUAUGUUUUAGAAUAUCAGAAUGCCAAUCCCCAUCCCAAAAUAUUGGAAUGUCAGAUACUGUCUUAUCAAGAUGCCUCUCCUUGUCCAGGAGUGCCUCCCCUUAAGUAUGUCAUCCCAUCUCUGAGGCUCACCCCACCCUGUCAGAGUUCUGUUCUGGCUCUCAGUACCCUGAGUCCACCCCUACCUCAGUGUACCCCCUGCCUCUGAGCCACAUGUUUGAGAACUCACAUUGUUUCCUGGAUUCUUGGAAACGAUAGUCUCAUUUAGUCCUGGGACCAAACCAUGGAUCCAUUUGAUCCCAGUAUCUCUUUCCAUUUAAUAAACUAUUAAAUACUUUUUAAUCUCUAUCUUGAUCAGUUCCUCCGGUAUUACAUAUUAACACCCUUCUUUUAAUUGCACAGUUUAAUAAAUAUAGAUUUUUUUUAAAUUUCUUUUUUUUAAUUUUUUUAAAAAUUUCUUUCAUUUCCUUCAGAAAAAAAAUCAUUCUUUGAUAGGGAGAAGAAGGUGUAAAACUUGUUGGAAUCAUCUUAGAAUGUGAUUUGGGGUGGCAGAGUGGGAGCUGGAGAAAACAUUUUCAGUGGAAGAUUCCUCAAUAUAAUUGUUAUAAUGAAGAUAUGUAGUGAAGUGACUAAGUAUGAACUAGUGUGGGGAUGGGAGAUUGUUGUAACUGAAGUUCAUUCUGCAACCGGUUCAAUUGAUAUUGGUGGAAAUGAGAAGCAGUUCAUCAGAAUAUUAUUUUCAUUGGUCCCUUAAUUGUCCAUGAAAAUUCAGUCCUUGAAAAUGCCAUCUAGAGAGAGAACUUAUGGAGACUGAAUGUGGAUCAAAGCAU